AUUGAACGCUGGCGGCAGGCCUAACACAUGCAAGUCGAGCGGGGACUUCGGUCCUAGCGGCGAACGGGUGAGUAAUGCUUGGGAAUCUGCCCAGUAGUGGGGGAUAACGUCCCGAAAGGGACGCUAAUACCGCAUACGUCCUACGGGAGAAAGAGGGGGAUCUUCGGACCUCUCGCUAUUGGAUGAGCCCAAGUCGGAUUAGCUAGUUGGUAGGGUAGUGGCCUACCAAGGCGACGAUCCGUAGCUGGUCUGAGAGGAUGAUCAGCCACACUGGAACUGAGACACGGUCCAGACUCCUACGGGAGGCAGCAGUGGGGAAUAUUGGACAAUGGGCGAAAGCCUGAUCCAGCCAUGCCGCGUGUGUGAAGAAGGCCUUCGGGUUGUAAAGCACUUUAAGCGGGGAGGAAGGUUCGCGGCCUAAUACGUCGCGGAAUUGACGUUACCCGCAGAAUAAGCACCGGCUAACUCUGUG
rnacentral:rRNA from 1 species